rnacentral:rRNA from 1 species
UACAGAGGGGGCAAGCGUUGUUCGGAAUUACUGGGCGUAAAGGGCGCGUAGGCGGCCUGCUAAGUCGAACGUGAAAUCCCUGGGCUCACCCAGGAACUGCGUCCGAUACUGGUUGGCUUGAAUCCGGGAGAGGGAUGUGGAAUUCCAGGUGUAGCGGUGAAAUGCGCAGAUAUCAGGAGGAACACCGGUGGCGAAGGCGGGUAGCUGGGCCGACACUGACGUGAUGCGCGAAGGCCAGGGGAGCAAACGGG